UACCCGCAGCCCGAGUGGUGCUCGAUUUUAUUGAGCUUAAAGCGUACGUAGCCGGUCUUGUAAAUCCUUGGGUAAAUCGGGCAGCUUAACUGUUCGACUUCCGAGGAGACUGCUAGACUUGGGACCGGGAGAGGUUAGAGGUACCUUCGGGGUAGGGGUAAAAUCCUGUAAUCCUGAGGGGACCACCAGUGGCAAAGGCGUCUAACUAGAACGGAUCCGACGGUGAGGAACGAAGCCCUGGGGCG
rnacentral:rRNA from 1 species